rnacentral:rRNA from 1 species
GUAGUCAUAUGCUUGUCUCAAAGAUUAAGCCAUGCAUGUCUAAGUAUAAGCAAAUUUAUACCGUGAAACUGCGAAUGGCUCAUUAAAUCAGUUAUCGUUUAUUUGAUAGUACCUUACUACUUGGAUAGCCGUGGUAAUUCUAGAGCCAAUACAUGCUAAAAGCCCCGACUUCGGAAGGGGUGUAUUUAUUAGAUUAAAAACCAAUGCCCUUCGGGGCUCUUUGGUGAUUCAUAAUAACUUAACGAAUCGCAUGGCCUUGUGCCGGCGAUGGUUCAUUCAAAUUUCUGCCCUAUCAACUUUCGAUGGUAGUAUAUGGGACUACCAUGGUUUCAACGGGUAACGGGGAAU